UACUUGAGCCAAGCCACGUCGUCGGAUCUAAAACCGCGUCGUCGACUCCAAUCGCAUAGCUCCAAUCCAUCGCACCACGUCAGAUCUGAAACCGCCUCUGGUACCCAUCCAGCCGCUGGUAUGCGUUGCCACCAGUUUGCAGAACGUGUCGUCGUUGUUCUGUGAGCUCACCAGAAGUUUCUUUUUGGGUUGGAAGGAAUUGUCCAACAAAGGUUGAAGUGUGAUUUGGGUGAAAUUUGGUAAGUACUAGCAUUAGUGACCUUUGUGUGUGUGUAAUUUAGUUAAUUGGAAAAUUUGGACAAGUCCUUGAGAUUGUUAAAUCUUUUGGAUUGUCAUUAAGACUAUCAUAUGUAUUUUUAAUUCUAAAAUGGUUAUGUUUGGGUUAGGAACAUGUUGAGCAUAUGGGCUUGCGAUGAUUGUUGGACCAACAUAUUUUGAGUAGAUCUAUGUGGUAUUGUUGGGUAAAUUGAUGCAUGAAACUUGGUCUAAAGCUUUAAUCUAACUUUGGCUCAUGACUUAGGAUCAAAUUCAAAGUUGGUGGAAAGCUAGAAGAGGAUUUGACUGUUGGUUUAAUUUUUUGUUUUAAUUUAAGGUAAGGGUAUAGAGGCACCGGUGAUGGCGCAGCGGAAUUUGUGAUCGUGCCACUGGAACUAGUUUUUACGCUUCCGCAUCAUGAAAUUUAGAGUUCUUAUUCUUCCCUUAUUGUUUAGUUUUACUGUUUGAAACUUAUUAUUACGGAUUAUUUCUUUUAUAUAUACUUUUAAUAGUCUUUACAAAUUAUGCGUACCCUAAUAUUGUUUUAACAAUUACAUUUAAUAAAUGUCUUUUGAACUUCUCUUGUA